UACGUAGGGCGCAAGCGUUGUCCGGAAUUAUUGGGCGUAAAGAGCUUGUAGGCGGCCUGUCGCGUCUGCUGUGAAAAUCCGGGGCUCAACCCCGGACUUGCAGUGGGUACGGGCAGACUAGAGUGUGGUAGGGGAGACUGGAAUUCCUGGUGUAGCGGUGAAAUGCGCAGAUAUCAGGAGGAACACCGAUGGCGAAGGCAGGUCUCUGGGCCACUACUGACGCUGAGAAGCGAAAGCAUGGGGAGCGAACAGG
rnacentral:rRNA from 1 species